rnacentral:rRNA from 1 species
AUUGAACGCUGGCGGCAUGCUUUACACAUGCAAGUCGAACGGUAACAGGCCGCAAGGCGCUGACGAGUGGCGAACGGGUGAGUAAUGCAUCGGAACGUGCCCAGUCGUGGGGGAUAACUACUCGAAAGAGUAGCUAAUACCGCAUACGAUCUAUGGAUGAAAGCGGGGGACCGUAAGGCCUCGCGCGAUUGGAGCGGCCGAUGUCAGAUUAGGUAGUUGGUGGGGUAAAGGCUCACCAAGCCAACGAUCUGUAGCUGGUCUGAGAGGACGACCAGCCACACUGGGACUGAGACACGGCCCAGACUCCUACGGGAGGCAGCAGUGGGGAAUUUUGGACAAUGGGCGCAAGCCUGAUCCAGCAAUGCCGCGUGCAGGAAGAAGGCCUUCGGGUUGUAAACUGCUUUUGUACGGAACGAAACGGCUCUGGUUAAUACCCGGGGCUAAUGACGGUACCGUAAGAAUAAGCACCGGCUAACUACGUG